rnacentral:rRNA from 1 species
UACGUAGGUGGCAAGCGUUAUCCGGAUUUACUGGGCGUAAAGGGUGUGCAGGCGGCUCGCUAAGUGGUGUAUGAAAUCGCCGGGCUAAACCUGACGGGGUUAUGCCAGACUGGCGGGCUCGAGUGCGGGAGAGGGACGUGGAAUUCCGGGUGUAGUGGUGAAAUGCGUAGAGAUCCGGAGGAACCCCAGAGGCGAAGGCGGCGUCCUGGCCCGACACUGACGCUCAGACACGAGAGCAUGGGGAGCGAACGGG